AGAGAAGAGGGUGGGGAAAGACCCGCACCCCGCCCUUUCCUCCCUUCAAACACGUUUCCGGGUCGGCGAGCGCCCUCUCCUGUUCUGGCUGACUAUCCGCGCGGCCUCCCUCCCGGCGGGAGCUAUUGCUGAGGGGUGGGGCGCGCGACCGAGGCAUGCUGGGGGCUGUAGUGCUUCUUUCGGGUCGGGCACCGCGGAGCCGCCGUGGUCCGGGCCCUUCACGGGAAGUCUCUUCCGUAGAGCGCUCGGCUUGCUCGCUGACAGCCGGGAUUUGGGCAGGGAGAAACCAAGGACAGCAGACAGAAGCAGCUUUCUGGGAUGCUUUGAGGAUAUAGAAUCAUAGAAUCACCAAGGUUGGAGAAGACCUACAAGAUCAUCCAGUCCAACCAUCCGCCUAUCACCAAUAGUUCUCACUAAACCAUGACCCUCAACACAAUGUCUAAACGUUCCUUGAACACAUGUGAUGUGAUAGAAGAGGCUGUUGACUGUAUUGUCCUCCACUCAUUUGUUACAGAGGUUGGAAGGUAUUUAUAAGUGAGAUGUAGGAACUGCAAGAUGUAUAGUCAGUUUCUUGGUUAAGGUAUUUGGGUACAGCUUAUGAGAAUGGUGAUCAUGAAUCCUCCUCCUGCUCCAGUGCUCUUGCUUGGAACAAGGGGAGUUUCUUCAGCAAUAAAUUUGAAAGUGUUUUUGUAAGUGCUCUUUCCUGGAGUGUGUAAGGAUAUGAUAAUACUUUGUUGCUCUUAUUGGAAGGAUUUACUUACAAGAACAUUUGUUGUUAUAAUAGGUAAUGGGUUUGACUGCAGUGAAGUAAGUAGAAAAUAAAGCCACACACUGAACACUGGAGUUAAAACA